AUGGCAGCAGGUCCCCGGAGCAACAAGUGCCGGGCUGCAGGGAGGUGUCACAGGAUCCGCUCCAGUCAGCGAUCCCCGCGUCGCCGCCAACGCGCCCAAAAUAGCCGGAGGCCGCGGGGCGGGGUCAGCCCGGGCGGGGCUGGGCGGGAGGGGCGCCCGGCGAGCGCGGCCUCUGCCCUGGCCCCGGCCCCCGCCCCCUGCCCCGCCGCCCCGGCCCCGCUGGACCGGAGGCAGUCGCGGCCGACCCGGGCUGGCACCGCCUACGAGGCCCCGGGGACCUUAUGGGAAAGGCUUACAUCACCAAAGCCUUUAGAGAAACAGUCACCUUCACAGCUCGUACAUUCUGAGCCAAUGACUGCAUACCUUCACUGCAUGCUGCACAGACUCAUCACUUCCUGCUCUGGACUGCAGACAAUAUUUGCAAUAGCGAUGUGGCAGAGCUAA
rnacentral:lncRNA from 1 species